GCCUGUGUGGUGUAGUGGUAGGUGCACGCGUCCCCGGUAUGGAUGAAACACGGGCUCGAUUCCCGCUUGAGGCC